UACAUAGGUGGCAAGCGUUAUCCGGAAUUAUUGGGCGUAAAGAGCGCGCAGGUGGUUGAUUUAGUCUGAUGUGAAAGCCCACGGCUUAACCGUGGAGGGUCAUUGGAAACUGGUCGACUUGAGUGCAGAAGAGGGAAGUGGAAUUCCAUGUGUAGCGGUGAAAUGCGUAGAGAUAUGGAGGAACACCAGUGGCGAAGGCGGCUUCCUGGUCUGUAACUGACACUGAGGCGCGAAAGCGUGGGGAGCAAACAGGAUUAGA
rnacentral:rRNA from 1 species